rnacentral:rRNA from 1 species
CCUACGGGAGGCAGCAGUGGGGAAUAUUGCACAAUGGGGGAAACCCUGAUGCAGCGACGCCGCGUGAGUGAAGAAGUAUCUCGGUAUGUAAAGCUCUAUCAGCAGGGAAGAAAAUGACGGUACCUGACUCAGAAGCCCCGGCUAACUACGUGCCAGCAGCCGCGGUAAUACGUAGGGGGCAAGCGUUAUCCGGAUUUACUGGGUGUAAAGGGAGCGUAGACGGCAGCACAAGUCUGGAGUGAAAUCCCGGGGCUUAACCCCGGAACUGCUGUGGAAACUGGGCGGCUGGAGUGCAGGAGGGGUAAGCGGAAUGCCUAGUGUAGCGGUGAAAUGCGUAGAUAUUAGGAGGAACACCGGUGGCGAAGGCGGCUUACUGGACUGUAACUGACGUUGAGGCUCGAAAGCGUGGGGAGCGAACAGGAUUAGAUACCCUGGUAGUC